GCCCCCAUGCCCUGGGCAUAUGCUUAGCUACUUAUGGAUGGACAAAUAUGAGAUUCGAGCCAGACCACUCGAUCCCAUCUCCGUUAUACACUGUGACCUACCUAACUUGAGACAUGCUCGGGAUAGCCUCCUACGGCAAUAGAAACUUUACACUACAACAUCGCCUGUCAUCCUCUCCAGUCUCCCAUCUCGUGCCCACCUAUAUCUCAAGCUCUACCUAUAUCUCAAGCUUCACCUCAUGCUGAGCUUCCACUAGC
rnacentral:lncRNA from 1 species